UAUUCUCUAGAAAAACAUCAUGUGACCUCCUUGUACAUGUUUACCACCCUCCUUGGAACCAUGCGGCAGGUGAAUUGGAGGAUCAUAGUAUUUGGUGCAUAAAUGUUCACCUGUGGCUACCAUUUUCAGCACCCUGUGCAUAGAGAGCUCCAGCCCAGAGUCAAUGUUUUAACGUAUAGAGAAGAAACCUCCAGGCUGCUGCUAUCGAGAGGGGGUGUAGCCACCCAGGCCAGGAAGAAGACUUGAGAUCUACUUGGGACUUACGUAGAAGGCAACCUUGCUUUCAUCCUUACCUUUGCAUCUGCCUCCAAAGGUUAUUGCUUUGUUCUAAGAAAACUUGAGCGCCCCUGAAUCAUAAAGUUAUUCUCCUAUAGUUUCUACUGAAUCAAACUCAUGAUGUUGCGCUUACCAGGCAAGCACUUUGCCGCUGAGCUAAAUCCCCAGCCCCUGGUAAUGAUGUUUUAUAUAUGUAUAAACUGAUGAUCACCAUGAUGAAGACUGGAAACCAGCAUCAUUUCUUCUUAUUCUCCUGGCCUGCACAUAACUCUUUGUAGCUGAAUAACCAGUGUCUGCACUGUUGCUGUCAUAAAGGUGACCUGGAUAACCUAUGCUUCCAUUGCCACCUGGAAGGUUAGGCCUGCUGACAGCUCCCUCACUGAUCCUUUGAAGGCUCUCAAAGUAUUUCUCUGACCCCCGGUUGCUCCAGGCUUUGUUGAUAUAUACAAAAAUGUCAGCAUCUUGAAGGCUGUCUGCAGGUGUUCUUGAGACCCAGACAGCUCUCUAGAUGCUUCUUCUACAAUCAAGAUGACAUAUUAUAUGUUGGUUAGUCCCAGUUUUUAUUUACCAUAGCAGUUCUGUUCUGCCCAUAUAUCCAUCCCAAAUGACAUUUAAAAUAAUAAUAUCAGGCUGGACAUGGUAAUGCACAGCUGUAAUCCCAGCACUCAGGAGGCUGAGGUAGAAGAUUGUUUUCAGUUUCUGACCAGUCUGAGCUCUAUUGUGAGUUUAAGGCCAGCUUGAACUACAUAGCAAGACCCUAUUUCAAAACAACAAUAAUAACAACAACAACAGCCACAGAAACAAACUGCACAUCCACCUUCAAGUAACCCUCAAUGGCGAGUUCCAGACACUUGGAGGAAGCCUUGAACUGCUGCCGCCUCAGCCACGCAACCCUGCCUUGGAAACAGCUAAUUAUGAACUGAAACCUCCAUAAACUGUGAGCUAAAUAAACCUUUCUUUCCUUAAUUUUGGGCAUCAGAUAUUUUAUAUGAGCAACAAGGGAAAAGCAACUAUGUCCCAGCUCUGUGAGUAGCCCCUUCUCCUCUGUUCCAGCCCAUACUGAAGUGUUGGGGAUUCCCUCCACCCGUGCCAGUCCCUUGGUGAUCAACAUUCCUUUUGGGUUCCUGUAUCCUUAUCCAUACCUUAGCUCUUUCACUAAUUUCUACAGUUGAGUGACCCAUUUGAUUUGUGCAUGGAACCUGGGGGUGACUUUCUAGUCACAAUAGAGGCCCUAUGUGCAGGUGUGCCCAGUGCAUUUCCAGUUUACAUGAAUGGUACCAGUGUAAUUACUAAUAGUAUUCUGUUUCCCUCUCAGAAAUAUUUUAAUUCAGACAAAUCACACAGUCAUCUACUCCUGAUCCUCGAUUUCCAUUUGCUUUAGUCCUAAGUGCUUGUGACUUUGAAACCCCAGAAGACUUUGUGCCCGGCCAGUGCUGUCUUGGUGUCUUUCAAUAUUUCCUGUAAAGUGGGAGGCUAGGCAUCUGGAGAAACGUUGACUCACUAGGCUGGGGAAGCGGGGGGACUGGAGGAGCCAAAUCUGGUCAACCCUAAGAGAGACACCAGGACAGAGAGCAGGAAGUAAUUUAACCAGGGGAAGCACCUUAUCAGUAUGCACUGGGUUAUGCAUGGAGGCUAAUGAUAAUGAUUGAAAGAAAACUCCAAGGGGCAGCCUGGAGCUGAGAGAGGAUACCCUGAGAAGAGCAAACUUGGGAAGGGGUUUUCAUCAUUGAGGAAAGUGCAACUGCAUGGCAGAGGAGCAGCUGGUCUGCUGGGGCACAGAGCUGGUACACACUCACCGGGCAAACAGGACCAGCCUACACUCCAAUCCAGGAACCUGCAGAUAGAAGGAGUCAGGGUCAGGACUGCAGUACAUGGUGUCUGCAUUGGUUGGCCAUAGAAGCAAAUUACAAGGCACAAGUAAGCAGAGUUUCAUUAGGCAUGGGUGGGGGCCAAGGGACCACUGGAACUGCAAGGGUGGAGCACACAAGGCCCAAGGUGGUAGCUCUGGCUUGUGGGCAUGUAGGCAAAGGACUCAGUCUCUCAAGGCACCACUCCCCACAGUAGCUACAGAAGUCUUUUUCUGCUGGAACCUCGUACACUUUUGUGUUUAGGGCCAUGGAGCUCAGGUGAGGCCAUGAACUCACUGACAAGUCAGCCCAGCAGGUAGUAAGUGACAACUGAUAAUCUCUGUCACAUGAACCACUCCAGUUUCCAACAGCUGCUCCUUCUACAGCAUUAUAUUCCUGGGCACAUUGACUGAAACCUCUCCUCAGCCAUUGUCUGCCGUAAUAUUCCAAAUAUAAUGACACUGGUAAAAAUUCACUUAAAAAAUCCAUCUUAUGCCCAGCACUCUGUGGGAGAGCUUCAUGAGGUUUUCUUUCUUUCUUUCUUUCUUUUUUUGUCAGCUUUUGUAACAAAGACACAAGGGCUACAUUUAAGUUAAUGCAUUGUGCUCCAGACAAUAACCACUAAUAUGCAGUACAUAAUUGGCCUUAGCUAUAGUUAUUGUGGGUGUAUUCUUUCAAUAUAUUGGAACUAUACUUUGCAUUUUUAUAAUCCCAGCCAUUAAGGUUCUGGAAAUGUAUUCCAAGGUAGCAUUUCAGUGAGUGAAUCUAUUUUCUGUCUCAUUAUCAGGAGGGGUCAUUCGAUAAUCUGCUGAUGGCAUUGAGUAAAUCUAUUUCUUGAAACUGUUCUCCUGGGAUAAACAGAUAAAGUCAUCAUUUUGUUCGCUGUGGUGUCUCUAACUCUCAAAAUGACUGAUGGGCCAUCAUGGUAAUCCAUGGGGGUAGAGUGCCUUGGCAGUAGGGAUGGCUUUUGGUUUCCCUAGCAACUCUCUCCUAGGGACACCAUGGCAGCCACACAUUUUCUAAGUUAGGAUCUGGGGAAAAAAUGACAGUAUUUCAAUUGAGAUCUUAUACACCUAAAUUAACUUUGCUCAAGAGAGAUGCAUUUUGCACUGUUAUCAUUUUUUAGUUUGUGUGCUGACUUCUCAUUAGAAUGGCAAAUUCUGCCCUCAGAGCAGCGUUAGCAGGGAGGGGAGAGUGCUGUGAAGAGAGGAGAUCACAAAGGUUUAAUAAUCCCAGUUCCAAAGAGGAAGCGGAUUUCUCUUAGCUCCAUUUUCCCAUAUAGCCCCAGGGGGAACUAAUUUAGAAUCUAAGCAAGCCCCUUCAAAUAGCUGGUCUCCUUAGUGUAGUAGUAUUCAAUUCAAGUAGAAAUAAUUUAGUAUUUCUCAUUGUUUUUACAGAAUAACUAUUGUCUCAGUGAGAUGUAUUGCCAUGUCCUAAAACACGAUAUCUCAAGCAUGGCACUACUGUGCUGGUAUUUUGCACUGGGUCAUUCUUUUUUGUGUACGGAGGACUGCCUUGAAUGUGGCACAAUGCCUAGCAGCAUUGCUUCCCCUGUUGUGACAACCACACAUCUCCAGGCAUGGCCAACUAUAACCUGGGAGGAAAAAUGGCCCGAGUUGAGAUCUGCUGUCCCAAAUAAAGAAGCCAUAGGAUCCGAGGAGUAACUCAUUGCCAUUACUGCUUCAUCAGUCCUCAUUUUCUUCCUCCUAAACUAGUUUAGUCCAAGCUUCAAGCACUGAGAGCCCAUGCCUGGAGUGCCUUUUAACGAAAGAUGACUUAUGUUUACAUGUUAUUUUGCAAGUACUCUUAUACGUAAAGACAGAACAUCAAAGCCUUAGGUGGUGGUGAGAAGAAAGGCUUUGAUCUACUCCUGGCCUCAGUCAUUUCUUAUCGCUGUCAUAACCAUCCUCUGUCUUAUGCCAUAUUUUUGAUAAGAAUAUUCACACAAGAUAGGAGACACUAACACCUUCUAUCCCCAAAAUAUGAAAGCUAAAUGAAUAAAUAAACUAAAGGGAUAAAUAAAAUAAAACAAGAAAAGGUAUAGUAGAGUCUACUAUGGAUUUCUCAGAACAGCUUUAUAGAAUGUUGAUUCUACUGGUUCUUAUAAUUAACCACAAAAUUAAACACAUGGGAGAGGGGACUUUUGUGACAAUUUAAAUCCUAGAAGUUAACUAGUAUUUUUGUCUGACAAAAUCUACCAUAACAAAAAUUCUAAGUAGAUAAAAGAAGAUACACAGCCUCUUGUAUUUAUGUCUGACUCAAACUAUAUUUCUACAAUAAAAGUAUUAGGCUACAAAUUCUAUCUAUGGGGAAAUGGUACUGUCUGAUUCUCUAUCAUUCCCCAUUCCCAAAAGCACUAGUGAAGUUUUUUUUUUUCUAGAACCUCUACAGUGCUGUCAGAAUUGACUGAUGCUAGAAUUGAGGCACUUCCAGUGGUGUGAGCUGAUACCAGUGUCAGCUAUUGGAUGCCCAAUAUGUGUGCAGCAGUUUUGUGGGUUGUGUUGAUACUGAUCAUUUGUGUGACAAGAGAGAUGGAAAGACUGUGGCCUUGUGUAUCAGGAUGAUUUGAGUUUUGAACUCAACACAGAUACCCCCGGCUGUGUGGUCAGGCACCCACUUCAACCCUUCUGAGCAGCAGGGCCCUCAUCUGCGAGGUAACAUCAUGAUACCACCACCUUAGGGGCCAUGUGCUGGUGACAACUAAUGCACAUAAUGUGCACAGCACACAAUUAGGGCUGGAGAUGAUGCAUUUCCCUGUAGGGCAGUUAUUCCCUUCUCCUCAGCCUCCUGCUAAUACAUCUAACGCUUGCCCCAGACCUUCUCUGUGUGGGGAUCAGAAUCUUCAUGUUUAUUGGAAUGGCAAAAGAUUGCUACAGAGGAUUGUCACAGAGGAUUCUAACUGACAAUAUUAGCCUGGCUGGAUCAGACCCCCCAGUCAGCCUGUAGAAGGGACAAUGUCCAGUUUAUACCCUAGAGAGGACCUGGGCAUCUGGGCUUUGGGAAGCUCUAUAGGAGGUGGCAAGGUGCUAUUUCUCAGCCUGACUAGUUCCAUGGGUGUGUCUGUUUAGUAAACACUCUGUAAUUGGUGCACUUUUUUGUAUAUACCUGAUUGUAUAUAAGUACUAGAAUAAGAUAUAUCCCAGGUGAUUCUAUGCACAGCCAGGUUUGAGAGUAACUGAUUUAUAUCUUUCUCAAAUCACAUGUAGGAGUUAAACAUUGUAAACAUGAUUUUUUUCAUCAUCAAAGAAUGAACAAGUGGGCAACUGGAAUAGUCACUUCCAGAGUUGCAGAAUAGACCUUGAAACACACAGAGAGUAAGGAGUCCAGGCCUUUCAUUUAUAAUUAAGGAAACCGGGAGCCAGGAAAUGAAGAUGAUUCCCUUAGGUGACCCAUGAGAACUGGCAAAGCAGGCAUGCGUCCGGUAUCCAUUCCUGUCCUGCCUAAAAAAAUGCGAGUCACUGAACCUACCUUUCAAACGCAGCACUAGGUGCACAAGGAGAUUGGCCUUGGUCACCUGGGUUCUGCCUGCUCAGGAGGAUGUGACCAAGCUAACCACUGGAAGGUAAAUGAACGCUUUAUGCCUUUCAGCAUCUUAUGCUGCGACCCAUGCAUUUUCCAUCUAUUAAAACUUCAGGGAAUAAAAAGCCUCAAGAAUAGAGUGCUGCCCAGCUUUUGCUCAAGUGCUAUUCUUUGCGGAAUUGUGUUUCUGAAAUCAGAAUAACACCCCUCAAUUGCUUGGCCUUCUGCUGAACCUCAAAGACUGAGAACAUGAAAAAUGGAUUGCUAAUUGCUCUUGUUUCCCCUGCUGCUCAACGUGAAAUUAAAAGCAUUAAUACCGUUGAGCCAAAGGAUUGCAGAACGUGUACAGAAGGGCUUACGUCUAUUUUUCUUCUUUUCAAGAGCAGUUAAUUUUCUCCCAAGGAACGCUCACUGUUCAGUGUUUUAUCCAGUGUUGAAUGACUGAAGGCAGUUGUAUAUUUUAAGCUUGAGCUGUGGCUGGAAGCUGACUUCUGAGAGCCCUCCACAGCCCCAGGCGGGAGACAGAGGAGAAGAGCCAUCAAAGUGAGGAGAUCUGGGUCCAUACUCCAAGGAAGAAAUUGUCUCCUGGCCUCACUGGUGUUGAGCAUGGCCCUAAGCUUAUUUUGGGCAAUAGAACAUUAGCAGAAGUGAUAAGUUGCGGUGUCUGAACCCUGAGUCUCACUGUGCUCUCUGAUCAUCAUUCUGGAAGUUUACUACCUCUCCCAGAGUCACUCCCCACUCCAGCCUGGGUACCUAAAUGGGCUACAUGGAGGAGAUCCAAAGUUUAAAACCAACCUGAAAGCCAUGAGCAAAAGUAAAUGCCUAAUGUUACAUGCCAAAAGAUUUUUGUAGUUAUUUGUUAUGCAGUAAUAGCUGACUGAUGUAGCUUCCUGGGAAUAAGACAGAAAACAGCUCAGAGGUUUUUUCUAUUCUCCAAUCCUGUAUUCUGAGAAUUCCAGUGCUUCUCUUACCCAGUUUUCUACCAAUUGAGAACAUCACUGCCACCAUUUCAAAAGUAAGUCACUAGCUCAGUCUCUUCCACCUUGCUUGUAUCUACUGAACAAGAGAGAAAAGCAGCUAUUCUUUUCCAACUUUCCCACCUUAUAGCUGAACAUUGGCAUUUUAAAUUCUCUGAAUCUUCUAGGACAGCUUCCCAUUGGGGCAAAGGUAGCAAUCUCUAGUAGCCACAGAGAAAAGAGAUUAGUACUUCAAACUAUCAUAGUAUUGUAGUAUUAUAGUAUUAUAGAAUUUAUAAGGAUAGAAUAGACACUAAGUAAAACCCAUAAUUUAACAAAUCAUGUACUUAUGAAUGCAGCAAAUGCUUAUUGAAAACCAACUACUACAGUUGUCUGAUAUAAUAAUACAGGAUGCCCAGUUAAAUUUGAAUAUCAGAUGAACAGUAAUGUUUUUGGUAUAAAUAGGUCACAAAUAUCGCACAGGAUAUAUUUAUACUACCACUAUUUAUUCCUUGUCUGAAAUUAAAAUUUAAGUGGAUACUUUAUAUUUUUAUAUCUUGUAAUCCAAGCAUUGUGAUAGGUACUGAGAAUAGAGUGGUUGGGAUGAUAGAAAAAUUCUCAACCUUUGUAACAUUCUGAAUAAUUUGUGAAUUUAUUCAAGAUUUAAAUAUAGACAGGGAUACAAAACAUAGGCACAGGAAUGUGCAAACAGGGGAACAAGGUAUUAGCAUAAGGGCUGCCCCUCCUGCACAGACUGCUUCCCAUACCAGCUGAAAAAUGGGGAAACAAAUUCAAAUCUGUUUUUGAAUGACUCUGCAUGAUCUGGAAGUUGCCAAAGUUAAUGCACAAUUAGAACUUACUCAGGGGUGGGCUUGAAAGAAAACAAAGAAAGCAAAUUCAUUCAGUGAACAAGAUAUAGCAGCCUAUGUCCUUGCCUUAUUAUUUAGAAGGAGAGAUAGCUUGAUUUGAGAAUUUACUCUGAGUCAUAGGUAGUGGCUAGUAUUUUGACCACAUAAUCAGGGAGUUGGAAGAAACAGUACAAAUGUACUGGAGACAAAAACUGUUGUAAAAGACAUAUGCGGAGAUUUUGGAAUAGCUCCAGGACGUAAGAAUAUCUAUCUUUUACAAAAACCCAUCAAACCACUUCUACCACAGAGUAAUCUCUUGAUAAUCAGAAGGAAAACUUCCCAGUCUGGGAAUAUCAGCUUUCUUCUCUCAACCUCCAAAUGCCCACCAAGGGGCAGAUAGCUAGUGGCAAGAAUGGAGACCAUGCAAGUGCCCAGAGAUCUGGGUUUCCCUUUGCCAAAGCUUAUCUGGUUACCCAUUGCUGAGUGACCAACUUUCCAACUGGAGCAACCAACCCUGUGUUUGGCAUGGUACCUUGGGGGACCAUCUAGGUACCCAGCAGGUGGCUGGUAUCAUAGGUUGGUAUCAUCUGCAUUCCAUUAUGAAGAGACAUCC